rnacentral:rRNA from 1 species
AGAGUUUGAUCCUGGCUCAGAACGAACGCUGGCGGCGUGUCUUAAGCAUGCAAGUCGGGCGGCAAGGGCCAGCAAUGGCCCCUAGAGCGGCGGACUGGUGAGUAACACGUGGGUGAUCUACCCCGGGGUUGGGGAUAGCCAUUAGAAAUAGUGGGUAAUACCGAAUACGCUCCAUUGGCUGCGGCCAGUGGAGGAAAGGCGCCACGGCGCCGACCUGGGAUGAGCCCGCGUCCCAUUAGCUAGUUGGUGAGGUAACGGCCCACCAAGGCGAUGAUGGGUAGGCGGCCUGAGAGGAUGUACGCCCACAUUGGGACUGAGAUACGGCCCAAACUCCUACGGGAGGCAGCAGCUAAGAAUAUUCCGCAAUGGGCGAAAGCCUGACGGAGCGACGCCGCGUGGAUGAUGAAGGCCGGAAGGUUGUAAAAUCCUUUUGUCGGGGAAGAAUAAGCGUGGGAGGGAAUGCCCGCGUGAUGACAUGAACCGGCGAAUAAGCCCCGGCUAACUACGUGCCAGCAGCCGCGGUAACACGUAGGGGGCGAGCGUUGUUCGGAAUUACUGGGCGUAAAGGGCAUGUAGGCGGUUCUGUAAGCCUGACGUGAAAGGCUAUGGCUCAACCAUGGCACUGCGUUGGGAACUGCGGGACUUGAAUCACGGAGAGGGAGCUGGAAUUCCAGGUGUAGGGGUGAAAUCUGUAGAUAUCUGGAAGAACACCGGUGGCGAAGGCGAGCUCCUGGCCGAUGAUUGACGCUGAGGUGCGAAAGUGUGGGGAUCA